rnacentral:tRNA from 1 species
UCACUGGCAGUCCAGUGGUUAGGACUCUGCAGUCUCAUUGCUGAGGGCCUGGGUUCAAUUCCUAGUCAGGGAA